rnacentral:lncRNA from 1 species
GGGAAAGAGAGCUUGACUUCCUCCUUUGAAAUAUGAAGAUAGAGUUGCGAUAUCUGUAUACUUGGCUUGUGUGUAUCAGCUAAAUUGGCUUAACCAAAAAAGAAGAGGAAAGUGAAUUGAAGUGUAGGAGGAGAGGUUGAGGGAAUGGGGUGGGGUCUUACACAGCAGGAAUGAUUCCGCCUACACCUGCAGUUUGCCUGAUAUAAGCGGAGGGGAGAUGGGAAAUGACUGCCCACCCUCUCGGGCUGCCAGCCACAUGGUGAUCUUGGUGAGCAUCUCUCCGUCAGUGUCACCUGGGACCAUGAGCAAAUGUGCGGGCUCUCCUGCAGACCCACAGAGCCGGAAACCGCAGGACGGGGUGGCAACCUGUGUUUGAACAAGCUCCUCCAGGGAUCCUGAUGCAAGCUCCACUCUGAGAAAACUCCUCCGAGCCAAGCAUACUGGGAUUUGCUGGCAGCUCUUUGGAACCAGUAAGAGGUCAACAUGUACCGGGCGUCAGAGCUGUGUUCCAAAGGGGAUAGUGGCCACACCCCGUUCCAGACCGGAACUCCUCAAAGCAACAGCUUGUGUGCAGCAAGGAAAGUGGCAUUCUCCUGAUACGAGUCCUGGAAUCACUAGGAAGAACAGUGUGUCGAUUUCUCACACAUGGAUCAAAUCGUUUUUGGUUAAGUGGCUGAGGCUGGCUGCUUCCAUGCCUGUCUCCCAAUUUUCUUCCCUCUGUUUGUGCCUUGUAAACCUGUGUGUCACCAAGCAGCCCUGGUUGCUCAUUUUCAACAGAUCCCACAGGGUCAAAACUACUGGGGUGUGGGGGCCCUUUGGCCUGUGCCUUUGGAGGAGUGGUUUGGGCCCCAGAUUCCAUACAUGGUAAUUCCAUCCACCCCACAGCCAAGGACACAUCAGGAGUGGCAGUUGUUUUUAGUAACAUCUUUCUGACAUGGAAAUGUCAAAGAUGUCACUGACUGACAGUUUAGUUAAGAGUUCACAGAAUAUGUAUUGAACUCAGGCCCUCAGUGCACUGUUUUCUGCUACCAAAGCCC